AUAAAUUAAUUAUUUUUAUUAAUUAUUAAUACUAUGGGUAUUUUGGUAAAUUGAUUCUCAUUCUCAUUCUCAUUCCUCAUUCCCAUUUAUUUUGCCAAGUAAACACAUCAAUGACAUUACAGCACAUUCCCAUUCCUAUUUAUUUUUGCCAAGUAAACAUUGAAAUCUCAUUCCCAUCACUCAUUCUCAUUCCAGUCCAUUCAUAUUCUCAGCCCAUUCCCAUUUCACCUUAUUCCCAUUCCCAUGAAGUAAACGUACCAUUAGUGGGGUGGGGAUGAAGAAUCCCCACGUAGGGAAUGAUUUCCUCAUCCUCACCCUAUUCCUCAUUUACCUAUUUUAUAGUAUGUAUAGAUACAUGAUUUCAGUAAACUAAAAAUUAGAGACUUAAAAUAAAAUCAUCAUCAUAUUAUAAAGUAUUUAAAUUAUUUUUUAAAAAAUCUCUAAAAGUUUGAAACAAUAUCUUAAAAUCAUAUUAAAAGUGAAAAAUAUUUAAAGAGAUCAUCACUUUAAAAGAGAAAAGAAAACAUAACAAUGUUUUAGAGUUGAAAAAUAUUGUAGAGUUUUCUUUUAUUCAUAUCUUGUUUAUAUUACAUAAAAAUUAAAAAAAUUAUUAAUUGAUAUUAUAAUUGAUAAAAUAAAAAUUAUUAAAUAAGAAUUAAAAAUAUAUUUAUAUAUAAUAUGGAUUGGGGUGGGGGUGGGGAGUGUAAAACCAAACCUCACUCCGUUAAUAAUUUGGGGGUUAUUUUUCUCUCACUUCCCCAAAAAUUAUUCAAAAUUUUCUCCAUUUAGAAUGUGGUUUCAUAGAACCCUAAAUCUAUGGAGAAUUUUACCAUCCCUAGUGAUACAUGCUUCAGAGUCCUGCCGAGUUGGGAGGUUUUGAAGAGGGGGCAACAACCAUCCAACUUAAGGGGCCUGAUUCAGGCUUUAUUUGUUAUAUCGAACUCAUGCCAUUGUCUAAGCAAGCACUCAUAAAGUAUUAGAAUUGAAAAGACAUGCACAAAAUAAUAUUUUCUUCAAUUAAUUACAGGUGCUUUUCUUUAGUCUCCCAUGUGUGUCUUGGAUAAGUAAAUUCACAAAACACUUGGGAAAUUGAAUUGAUAGCGUCCCAACUCCCAAGUUUUUAAAACGAUCAAGCAUAACUUUUGAACUUCAAUUCGAUAAUUUGAGUUUUGACGGCCAUUAAAAACAUUGCACCAACCACUUAAAAACACGUGUGAACACUGGGAUCCUAAUUUCCAUAUGAUAAGCUUACACUCCUAUUAAUUUAAAUUAUCUUAACUCCACCCCCGUUCUUUCUAAUUCCAAAGCAAAAGUCAAUUUUGGAUGGAUGGUUUUCGAAAUUCUAUGUAUAUCCAUGCCCCAAAAUCUAAAGUAAAAAAAAAUUUAAAUUAUAAAAAUAAAAUAGACAUAAUUCAAAAAAGCAAACAACUUUUAUCCAUAAUCAAUAAGAAAAUGCAAAAUGACAUUCUUCUUUGCUUACAUUAAAGCCACUUUGUGAACAUUUUUAUACUUUAAUUAAUUAUCUUUCAUGAUCAAUUAUUCCAUAAAAUAAUUAAAUAUGGAUAGUUUCCUUAUCCACAUUGAAUCCCAUUUAACUAGAGCAUGUGCAUGUGUAGUUUGCGAAAUGAGAUUAUUCUGCCUUUCUGUAGUUAGCAGCCAAUUAUUUUUUUCCACACUAAUAUUUGGAGUGUUUUUCUUGUUUCCAGCGGCAAUUUGCCUGAGAAAUUAAUCUAGAACGAAUCAACGAACUAAUACAAACAAGUAAAACAAAAUUUAGUUGUGGAUGGGGCUUGGUCCACUAUACAGCCUUUGUUUGUUUGUUUGUUUUUGUUGUUUUUUUUAAUAUGCGGGCCUUUGAAUUAUAGACAUGAUUUCUUAUGAAAUGUAUCAAAUUAUUAAAUUUACGUAAUUUACAUAGCAGAAUAGCAAUUUGGGCAACGAUUUAACCAUUUGACAAGAAUAUGACUGAGCCUAAAAACCAAAAAAAAAUUGUUUACAAAAUUACCACAAUUAAUAAAUGGUCGUUAAAACUAAAAUGAUCUUUAGGUGACAUUGUACAUAUAGCUUUUAAUUUAAAUAAAAAUUAACAUUCAGAUUAAAUUUAUCAAAUUUGGCUUUAAUCACGUUUAACAUGUCUAAAAGAAUUGUGUCAUGUCAAAAUACAGUAAAACAUUGAUAAAUAAAA
rnacentral:lncRNA from 1 species